ACUCACCAAAGCCGCUGGUGUACUGGCCAUCUGGCAAACCGGGACAAAUCCCAGUGGGCUUUUGGACCAUUGAACUAUCCAUGAAGCUUCCGGCCCUGUCGGUGUCUUGCCCCACUGUGUGCAUGAGGCCGCGAUCCUCCUGUGGAAACACAAUAUGCUUCUGUCACAGAGACCAACCGAGUGUACGGGGAGGACAUCAUGUCAUCAUCAGGUCCAUCAGCGAGGACAGACGGAGCAGGUCUCCUGUGGAAAUCUCUUUAAAUCACACUUGUGCAAAAUAUACAGAACCAAAUGGAGCUGAAACCAAUGAUGACUACAGUGAGGUCGCUGUUCCGAAAUCUCAAAAUACAGAUGAAGACGACGCGAGGAGACUCAUCUACUCUGAGGUACAUUUUUCCACCCGGGCCGCCGGCUCGUCCUACAGUGCCGUCCAUGGCGACGGCGAUACUGUCGUCUACGCUGUUGUUCCUCGGGGAGAAGGGAGCUCUGACGCCGGCCGUGCUGAAGAUGAUCCGCCUGUGUAUUCGACUGUUAAUUAGCUCCAACGCUGCCACAUUUACGCUUCCUGUUGGCAGCAGAAACAGGUGUGAAGUAAAUAUGUAAAUAAUCUGAAAUAUAUUCACACACAGACGUUUGUUCAUGAGAUAAUAUGUGCUGCCUCAACAAUGUGCUUCAGGUCAGAGCUUCUUUUACUACUUUAAAAAGUAUUUUUAGAAGUUAUUAUUUACGUUAUUGAAGUGGUAUUGUCACAGUAAGUUAUUUUUGUAAAAUAAAUGGUUUUGGUAACGAUGGCAGGUUACAUUAGCGUAAGGUAUUUUGUGUAUGUGAUGUCUGUAAGCAGGUAACUGGGUCAGGCCGAGUUCUUAAAAAGCUGAGUUCUGGAUUAAAGAUGCUCCCAACUAUAUGUGACGUCUCCUU
rnacentral:lncRNA from 1 species